rnacentral:piRNA from 1 species
UUAGUUUGCAUGUAACUUACGAGAGUGUC